GACGAACGCUGGCGGCGUGCUUAACACAUGCAAGUCGAACGGAAAGGCCCUGCUUGCAGGGUACUCGAGUGGCGAACGGGUGAGUAACACGUGGGUGGUUUGCCCUGCACUUCGGGUUAAGCCUGGGAAAGUGGGCCUAAUUCCGGAUAGGAGCUAUUUUUAGUGUGAUGGUUGGAAAGUUUUUUCGGUUUUGGAUGAGCUCGCGGCCUAUCAGCUUGUUGGUGUGGUAAUGGCCUACCAAGGCGGCGACGGGUAGCCGGCCUGAGAGGGUGGACGGCCACAUUGGGACUGAGAUACGGCCCAGACUCCUACGGGAGGCAGCAGUGGGAAAUAUUGCACAAUGGGCGCAAGCCUGAUGCAGCGACGCCGCGUGGGGGAUGACGGCCUUCGGGUUAUAAACUCCUUUCGCUAGAGACGAAGCUUUUGUGACGGUACCUAGAUAAGAAGCACCGGCUAACUACGUG
rnacentral:rRNA from 1 species